rfam:Triticum aestivum genome assembly, contig: Triticum_aestivum_CS42_TGACv1_scaffold_290920_4AL
GUCAGGAUGGCCGAUUGGUCUAAGGCGGCAGACUCAAGUUCUGGGCCUCUUACGAGGGCGUGGGUUCAAACCCCACUUCUGACA